AUUCAACAAUAAAAUAGAUAUUAUGAAAUCAAAAAUAAAAGUAACCCGGGUCACCUGUUUGAAUUUUCUUCGUCUGUCUUUAUGCCUCUCUCUCUCUCUUUCUUUCUCU
rnacentral:ribozyme from 14 species